AACAAAAACCCUAGCCCCCCCCCCCCCUCUCGAAAAAUCCCUCAUGCUGCAACAACCAAAACCAAACGACCCUCCGUUCUGCAUCUUCUUCUUCGUUUCUGAAUAUACAUUCACAUACAAAAUAGAGAUGAGGAAUUUCAGUCCAAACAAUCGAGUAAACAAUAGUGAAAAUAGAUCUGCGACAAAACCUAAAUCACAAAAUAUAUAGCUACACAAAAAAGGAGCAUCAGCGAAAAACACAAGGAGGAAGGUAGGGAUUCGAGGUUGCCGAUUCAAGGCUCGUUAAGAUCGAGCGUUGGUCCGCGUUCUUGGAUCUUUGAUGCUGAAUCUCGUUGAAAUUUUGGGGUCAAAACAGUGUGUUUGUUGGUUCUACAAUUGCUGCUUAAGAUAAAUAGUUAAAGGUUCAUCCAUUUUCUUAUUAUUGUUUUGCAAUUUUUGUCUAUUUAGUUUUAACUUGAUAUUGUUGAUUGUUCUAUGUGUUGUGUAUUGGUUUGAUCUUGUGAGAAGUCACUUCAGAAAUAUAGAAUUGUAUUCUGGCA
rnacentral:lncRNA from 1 species